UACGUAGGGGGCAAGCGUUGUCCGGAUUUAUUGGGCGUAAAGAGCGUGUAGGCGGCCAGACAGGUCCGUUGUGAAAACUAGAGGCUUAACCUCUAGACGUCAAUGGAAACCGUCUGGCUAGAGUCCGGAAGAGGAGAAUGGAAUUCCUGGUGUAGCGGUGAAAUGCGCAGAUAUCAGGAAGAACACCCGUGGCUAAGGCGGUUCUCUAGUACGGUACUGACGCUGAGACGCGAAAGCGUGGGGAGCGAACAGG
rnacentral:rRNA from 1 species